rnacentral:rRNA from 1 species
GGACCGGAGUGGACGAACCGCUGGUGUUCCAGUUGUCUCGCCAGAGGCAUUGCUGGGUAGCUACGUUCGGACAGGAUAACCGCUGAAAGCAUCUAAGCGGGAAGCCCCUUCCAAGAUGAGAUCUCCCUGAGGCCUUGAGCCUCCUGAAGAGCCGUUCAAGACCAGGACGUUGAUAGGUCGGGUGUGUAAGCGCUGCGAGGCGUUGAGCUAACCGAUACUAAUUGCUCGUGCGGCUUGACUAUAUAACACCCAAG